rnacentral:rRNA from 1 species
UACGGAGGGUGCAAGCGUUAUCCGGAUUCACUGGGUUUAAAGGGUGCGUAGGAGGGUGUGUAAGUCAGUGGUGAAAUCUUCGAGCUUAACUCGGAAACUGCCGUUGAUACUACAUGUCUUGAAUAUCGUGGAGGUGAGCGGAAUAUGUCAUGUAGCGGUGAAAUGCUUAGAUAUGACAUAGAACACCAAUUGCGAAGGCAGCUCGCUACACGAAUAUUGACUCUGAGGCACGAAAGCGUGGGGAUCAAACAGG